rnacentral:rRNA from 1 species
GAUGAACGCUGGCGGCGUGCCUAAUACAUGCAAGUCGAGCGAACAGACGUGGAGCUUGCUCCUCUGACGUUAGCGGCGGACGGGUGAGUAACAUGUGGAUAACCUACCUAUAAGACUGGGAUAACUUCGGGAAACCGGAGCUAAUACCGGAUAAUAUAUUGAACCGCAUGGUUCAAUAGUGAAAGACGGUUUUGCUGUCACUUAUAGAUGGAUCCGCGCCGCAUUAGCUAGUUGGUAAGGUAACGGCUUACCAAGGCAACGAUGCGUAGCCGACCUGAGAGGGUGAUCGGCCACACUGGAACUGAGACACGGUCCAGACUCCUACGGGAGGCAGCAGUAGGGAAUCUUCCGCAAUGGGCGAAAGCCUGACGGAGCAACGCCGCGUGAGUGAUGAAGGUCUUCGGAUCGUAAAACUCUGUUAUUAGGGAAGAACAAAUGUGUAAGUAACUAUGCACGUCUUGACGGUACCUAAUCAGAAAGCCACGGCUAACUACGUG